UGAUGUACAGUAAAGGACUCUCUCUGAUGGCGAUGUACAGUAAAGGACUCUCUCUGAUGGCGAUGUACAGUAAAGGUCUCUCUCUGAUGGCGAUGUACAGUAAAGGACUCUCUCUGAUGGCGAUGUACAGUAAAGGACUCUCUCUGAUGUACAGUAAAGGACUCUCUCUGAUGGCGAUGUACAGUAAAGGACUCUCUCUGAUGUACAGUAAAGGACUCUCUCUGAUGGCGAUGUACAGUAAAGGUCUCUCUCUGAUGGCGAUGUACAGUAAAGGACUCUCUCUGAUGUACAGUAAAGGACUCUCUCUGAUGGCGAUGUACAGUAAAGGACUCUCUCUGAUGUACAGUAAAGGACUCUCUCUGAUGUACAGUAAAGGACUCUCUCUGAUGGCGAUGUACAGUAAAGGACUCUCU